ensembl:lncRNA
UGCCACCCUUUCACUCAUGAAGUCAUCCAGCUGCCCCCUUCUUUUCCUCUUCCUUCCUGUCCCUCAACUGCCAGCAAUGCGUCAUCGCCAUCCACCUCGUCACCUGCAAACUUCCAGCCAUCCAUCUCAUCACAGACAGCCUUCCUCCAGCCAUCCAUCUCAUCACAGGCAGCCUUCCUCCAGCCAUCCAUCUCAUCACAGGCAGCCUUCCUCCAGCCAUCCACCUCAUCACAGGCAGCGUUCCUCCAGCCAUCCAUCUCAUCACAGGCAGCCUUCCUCCAGCCAUCCAUCUCAUCACAGGCAGCCUCCCUCCAGCCAUCCACCUCGUCCUCAUCGGAAGCCUCCCUUGAGCCAUCCUCGCCAGAGGCCUUCUUUGAGGCAACAGCUCUUCCCCGGCCCAAUUUGCCAGCAUUCAGCCCAUCCACCCCUUCAGCCUCCAUGAUGUCACCAUCUCCUCCUUCCCACACAGGAAGGAAGAGGAAAAGAAGGGGGCAGCUGGAUGACUUCAUGAGUGAAAGGGUGGCAGAUUUGGAGGAGCGGAGGCAGACUGUGCUGUCACUUGAGAGCAUGGUUGCCCCUGAUGAGUAUGCGAGAUUUGGCCAGGUUGUGGGGGACCUGGCGAGGACUGCAUUACAGGAGAGUAGGCACCCUUUAAUGAUGAGGAUUUUGCAAUGUUUGAUUUCGGCACAGGGCGUAGAAAACUUAAGAGAAUGCCCCUAAGCACUAUGUAAAUAUUUGUUUUAUUCAUAAUUGGUUUGUUUUGUUCUGCACUCUUCUGAUACUUUUGUUCUCUUCUAUUGUUUGGAUUUUGCAUGUUUAUUUUAUUAUUUAUAGUUGUGAAUUUUGUACAGCACUGUUCUUAUACUUUUGUUCUCUUGUUUGGAUUUUGCUCAUUGUAUUUUUAUUAUUCAUAUUUUGUACUUACUGUUCUUGUACUUUGCACUCUUAUUUUACACUUGUAUAAAUAAAAUGGCA